AUACCCCGUCUGGUAUGAGAGUGAAGCGAGCUGUCCCUCUACCCCGUCCAGUAUGAGCGCCAAAUUAUCAAGUCUCCAUACCCCGUCCUGUAUGAGACAACGUUCACGGUAGGGUUCUUUAUGUACCCAGUCCGUCCACCAUCUCUCAAGAUAUCUAGUAAGGCUAUCGUUCCAUAUGUUUAUUUAAUUAAACAACUUUUUUGUUUUUCUUUAGUCUCCAUUUUCCAAAUCAAAUAUGAUCACAUAAGCAAACAAACAUGUAUCAGAGAAUGCAAUCAUAUCUCAAUUUUUCAAUCAAACAGUAGUCAUGUAAGGCAGCAAUUCAUACAUUCAAACCAUAAAAUUGAUAAAC
rnacentral:lncRNA from 1 species